rnacentral:rRNA from 1 species
UACGUAGGGUGCAAGCGUUGUCCGGAAUUAUUGGGCGUAAAGAGCUCGUAGGCGGUCUGUCGCGUCGGCUGUGAAAACCCGAGGCUCAACCUCGGGCCUGCAGUCGAUACGGGCAAACUAGAGUACUGCAGGGGAGACUGGAAUUCCUGGUGUAGCGGUGAAAUGCGCAGAUAUCAGGAGGAACACCGGUGGCGAAGGCGGGUCUCUGGGCAGUAACUGAC